AACGAACGCUGGCGGCGUGCCUAACACAUGCAAGUCGAACGAGAAAGGGGCUUCGGCCCUGAGUAAAGUAGGCGCACGGGUGAGUAACACGUAGGUAACCUGCCUUUAAGUAUUGGGAUAACCUGUCGAAAGACGAGCUAAUACCGAAUAAGACCACGGUGUCUUCGGAGACUGAGGUCAAAGGUAGCCUCUAUUUAUAAGCUAUCACUUAAAGAUGGGCCUGCGUACCAUUAGCUAGUUGGGAGG
rnacentral:rRNA from 1 species